rnacentral:rRNA from 2 species
GAAGUCGGAAUCCGCUAAGGAGUGUGUAACAACUCACCUGCCGAAGUUACUAGCCCUGAAAAUGGAUGGCGCUGAAGCAUCGUACUUAUACUUAACCGUCGGGACAGUAGCAACAUUUGUUUUUCAUAUAUGUAUGUCCAAGUGUUAUUAGGUCCCGACGAGUAGGAUGGUCGCAACGGUGAGCGCAGAAGGAUUGGGCGUGAGCCUGUCUGGAGCCACCGUUGGUGCAGAUCUUGGUGGUAGUAGCAAAUACUCCAGCGAGGCCCUGGAGGACUGAUGUGGAGAAGGGUUUCGUGUGAACAGCCGUUGCACACGAGUCAGUCGAUCCUAAGCCCUAGGUGAAAACCAAUGUUGAUGUGGUGUGUUUAAAUAAA